rnacentral:rRNA from 1 species
GACGAACGCUGGCGGCGUGCUUAACACAUGCAAGUCGAACGAUGAAGAAAAGAAUUGAAGCUUCGGCAGAAAUUCAUUUCGGAUUAGUGGCAGACGGGUGAGUAACGCGUGAGCAACCUACCUCUUACAAAGGGAUAGCCUCGGGAAACCGGGAUUAAUACCAUAUAACAUUGCGACGAAGCAUUUCGAUGCAAUCAAAGCUACGGCGGUAAGAGAUGGGCUCGCGUCCCAUUAACCAGAUGGUGAGGUAACGGCUCACCAUAGUAACGAUGGGUAACCGGCCUGAGAGGGUGAACGGUCACACUGGAACUGAGACACGGUCCAGACUCCUACGGGAGGCAGCAGUGGGGAAUAUUGCACAAUGGAGGGAACUCUGAUGCAGCGACGCCGCGUGAGUGAUGAAGGAAUUCGUUUCGUAAAACUCUGUUCUAUGGGAAGAAAAGGACUGUACCAUAGGAGAAAGCCCCGGCUAAAUACGUG